AGAGUUCGAUUCUGGCUCAGGAUGAACGCUGGCGGCGUGCUUAACACAUGCAAGUCGAGCGAAGCACUUAUGAUGAUCCUUCGGGUGAAUCAUUUGUGACUGAGCGGCGGACGGGUGAGUAACGCGUGGGUAACCUGCCUCAUACAGGGGAAUAACAGUUAGAAAUGACUGCUAAUGCCGCAUAAGCGCACAGGGCCGCAUGGCCCGGUGUGAAAAACUCCGGUGGUAUGAGAUGGACUCGCGUCUGAUUAGCUAGUUGGUGAGGUAACGGCCCACCAAAGCGACAAUCAGUAGCCGGCCUGAGAGGGUGAACGGCCACAUUGGGACUGAGACACGGCCCAA
rnacentral:rRNA from 1 species